AACGCACAUUGCGCCCCUUGGUAUUCCAUGGGGCAUGCCUGUUCGAGCGUCAUUUGUACCCUCCAGCCCUGCUGGGUGUUGGGCGUUUGUUCCGCUGCGCGCGUGAACUCGCCUCAAAUGCAUUGGCAGCCCGCCGUCCCGUGUGGGAGCGCAGCACAUUUUGCGCUCUCCGCUGCAGACGGUGGCGUCCACAAGUCUACAUUUUUACGCUUGACCUCGGAUCAGGUAGGGAUACCCGCUGAACUUAA
rnacentral:misc_RNA from 1 species